rnacentral:lncRNA from 1 species
CUAAUUGAUCUGAAAUGGGCAACAACAAAAUAAAUAAGAACAAAAUUCAUGCAAUACAUGGAUCAAUAUAAAUUAAAUAUGUUUUUAAUUUCUCAAUUAUCAAAUGGUUUUGGGUUUAGUUCUCAUUUUCAUUCUCUUCUUUACUAAAACAGUUAGAUUUAGUCCUUAAAAACCAAGAGUGUUUUUCCCUGCACCUUACUCACUUCUUCCUGUACCUCCCAUUCUUUUUGUGUUUCCAAUUCUACCCAUAAAAGAAUAUUUUGAUUUUCUAAAAAGACUGAAAAAGUUGUCGAUGCUCCUUUCCAAUGCUCCUUUUCCACCUCAUUUCAGAAGACCGAGUCUUCCCCCACAAGACCUAUACAGCCCCUUCUUUCUUUUACUUUGCACACGAAGAACACUAUGCUUUCUCUUCUGCUUUUCAUCAUUUUCAUGGGCUCAUGUUCCUUGCUGGUGGUAGUGAGAUCCAGGGCUUCUUCUAGCAGGCGUCCAGGUUAGUUACAUUUUUUUUCCUUGAACUGGAUUAGGCUAUUUGUCUCGUAGAUCUGUUGUUUAUAUCCUGUGAGAGGAACCACCACUAUUCAUUGAAAAGGGGUUGGGGUUGGGUAUUUGAGAGGGAGGUGCUCGUGCAGAACCGCAUUUGGAGGCGCGGUUGAGAAGUGUCGCACCUGAGAGGUGCGGUUGAGGGGUGUCGCACCUGGGAGGUGCGGUUGUGCGUAACCGCAUUUGGUAGAUGCAGCUAUGGGUAGCCGCAGUUGGGAGACGCGACAAACGAGUUACGACAGAGGAAGGGGGUGCGUUGCGAUCUGCGGCAGAGGAGGU